rnacentral:misc_RNA from 1 species
GAGGGGAACACUGGAAUCAUUGUUAUUGCUGCCACCAACAGGGCUGAUAUCCUGGAUUCUGCUUUACUCAGACCUGGACGUUUUGACAGACAGGUAAGUGUUGAUGUUCCUGAUGUACGCGGAAGGACAGAGAUUCUUAAGGUGCACGGUAGCAACAAGAAGUUCGAUACUGAUGUCUCUCUUGAAGUCAUAGCAAUGAGAACACCUGGCUUUAGUGGAGCAGACUUGGCAAAUCUUCU